CGGAGCGUAGCUCAGCUUGGUAGAGCACUUGGUUUGGGACCAAGACGUCGCAGGUUCAAAUCCUGUCGCUCCGA
rnacentral:tRNA from 1 species